rnacentral:lncRNA from 1 species
CUCAUUUCCCAACCUCAUGAAACUUGAGUUUAUUCAAUUUGUCUGGAUGGAAGUCCGCGUGUGUGUCUCGCCGUAGUGUUUCAAGGUCUUUCGUAUGCCGAAUUAAUUCACGUGGUCACGGUAAGAAUUUUACUCAGUAUAAUAUUUUACCAGCAUCCAAAGUACUUACGGAACGAAAGUUCCAAACUCGUUAUGCCUCGAGAUGCACCCCAUCCGAACCGAAUUCCAUUGUUCUGGGAACUGCAUGGCGAUUCUCGGAGCAGAACUUGAUCUUCCCAGAAAUUCUCGAUCACAUCUCUAUCUGAUCUUUUUCGAUUGGAAUUAUUGUUUCGGCCUAAAAUGCUGACGAGUUUGACCGUUCCUGGCGAACGUUUUGCUGCAUCGUCAAAUUAAAUGUGUUGAAUGAGCUAGUCUCUAUCACAUAUCACAUGCAUGCCAUGCUUUUAUCAGCCUCAUCUCGCUGGUCGUCGCUGAUUAUCAUUAUCAAAUUUCCUUGAGUGAUCUCACAAUGAACUCUUGAUCAGGCUGUUACGUGGACUGUGCCAAGUUCAGUUCUUUUACUCGAUCGUUUCUGGGAAGAUCCAGUACUGUGGAAGUCAUUUGUUGACUUUUAGGUUAUGAACAUGUGAAUUGUUAGAAUGCCACAAGUGACAAGUGUAGUAUUUAGAGAGCAAUUUCCUCUCGAAUGUGUGAUAUUGUCUCUGCCAUAGACUCACGUUCGUUUCAAGGCUCGCAGCGGCGCUGUUAUCGUUUUUUUCGGUGCGGGAAGUUGGAAGUUGCCCUGGAGUCAUUCCGGGAACCCAUCGUCGCCGUGCUGUCCUUAUCUCCGAGCUUCGAGGAAUCGAACAGGAAUCCUUCCCGAGGUAAGACAUUUUUCUCCCUUGAAGCUUUGACGGGCGCCUGUCUGUCGCCGCGCCGUGGCCGAUCGGCCGACCGGCCGGAAGUUGAAUCACACUCGGGUCGUGUUGCUGCAAUGAAAGUCAGCAAUAUCGCUAACACCCACCAGUAAUGAAAUUUUGUUUUUGUCGAUAGUUCGAUAAGCUUGGUUGCUCAAUCGCCGGUAGCCUCGCCUCAAUGGCGCCGCCUCCGGUGAUCGAUAAGCAUUACGCGAAUUUUUGUCUCGCUGAAAUUCGAAACUCCAGCCCUGUUCCAGUCUCCCCCUCCCUCUCCCUUUUACCUUUCAUCACGCAUUUGGUGCUUACGCUGGCCUGCAGCUCCUCCGAAAGUUUUGUCACGCUGCUAGACCCCUUUUUUCGUACACUGGAAAAAAGUCUCUUGGAUCCAGCGGGCUAAUUAUUGAAAUGGUUAGACUAAGCGCAGUGGCGUGGCGUGAACUGCGAUAUAUCGAUUGUUCUGCCAUUUAAGCCUAUGGAAAAGGAUCGAUAAACAGGGUGUUCGCAGCGAACACCUUAGUAAUCGAUUCUUUACCAUAGCUUCAAAUGGCGAGAUAUCGAUAAUCGAUCAUUCACGCCACGCCACUGACUAAGCGAUAGACCAAGAAGACUUAUCGACGGUGUAAGUCGGCAAUCACACAACUCGUUUGCGGUGUCUGAAAAUAUCCGCUUCUAUGUUUUUUUUUUUAAGGAAAACAAAUUGACAUUAUUCCUUGAAGUUUUUGCAGAAUUUUCUUCGCACCGAGAAGAAAAAUCACGGCAGUCUUAAAGAGUUGCCGUUGAGUAGUUUCCCGUUUAAAAAAUAAAGUACGACGGGAAGUCUAUGCGACGUCGCAAACCGAGUUAUGUGAUUGCCGACUUACACCGUCGAUAUGUAGUAUGGAGCAAUCUUUUUAGCCCUGGAUAGACGAUCAAAUUCCCGAACCAAUUCCGAUCAAAGUAACAUCAAAGUGUCGGGAGUCAUCAGUCUUAAACUCAUUAAUUUGCUUCAUUUUAAAAUGAAAACUUGGCAGAAAUGUUCCCUGUGGCAGGAAAUGAUGAAUGGUGGCACUCCGUUCUGAUCUUACUUUGAGCAAAAAAGUGCGGCCCAUCAAAAUUUGAUGGUAGAUGGUGACCACCAGUCAUCAGCAUGUCUACUUUGAUCGGAAUUGGUUCGGAAUUUGAUCGUCUAUCCAGGGCUUUUGGUUGAAAUAGGUGGUUCUAAUGGACUAAGGAAGAAAAAUAUGGACUAACUAGAGGGUGUCUCGUGGGGUGCGAUUAGUUAGUCUGAUACCUACCUCCUCUGUCAAUUACAAUCACCCGCUUCCACCAAUUGUAUCCCUUCAGUAUUCUUUGUCUCUCGCUUUGUCCAUUAAUUUCAAUAACGACAAGUAAACUCUUGAUUCAGUCGGAUUUCUGCUUCAAUCUAAAGGCAAUCCGCUCAAAUGAAGAGGCCUGGCACUCGAUUCAAGCCACAAGCUAGCAUUUAUAUAGUAGAUUUGGGAGCAUCGAAAGUUCCACAAAAAUGCAGCAAGUAAACCAGCGCAGCACAUCAACGUCGAACCCUCCAUGUCGAUUUCUCAUCCUGUGUUACUGUUCUCUCCCAUUUUCGACCCCGAAUUUUUCUAAUCAAUACAGAAAUAAUUUUGGUUAAGAUAGUGCCCAAUCAAUUGUUUACUUUGUCUGUCUGAACUUGGCGCAUGAUGCAACUGGACCGAGCGUGACGUAACUCGUGCAGUGUGCACUCGGAUGUCGGGUUUUUGAUUGACGGGUGCAUUUUGUAAUCAGCUGAAUUUCCUAGCGAUUAAUCAGGGAAUUCGGCCCGAAAAAGAAUGUGUAUUUUAAGAGGUCAUAGCAGCGCGAGCAACGCACAGUAGGUCGAGUCAAUUAGAGAGGUCGAACCUGAAAUUUUUUACUAUAAUUGCAAAUUUUAAUGCAGGGCGUCUACAAGUCCGGAAAGUCCGGAAAUAGUACUAAUUUUUAAGGGCGGUCCGGAACAACUGAAAAAGUGCGGGAAUUCCGCAAGAUGGUCCGGAAUUUUCUCAUUUUGUCGUCAUUUUAGAGUGAGAUUAGUGAGUCAAUUAGAGUGAGAAAUUCACAUUUUUGAAAUUUUUCAGAUUUCGUCAAAUGAAGGUACUGAAAAAGCACUGAAGAAUUUUGCUGUUGAGGAGGUUAUUGAAUUGCUUAGAAGUGCACUAAAAAAAGUACUGUAAAAGUACUGAUUUUUGACCAGCCUGUUUAGUAGACACCCUGUGAUGUCUAUUUCGUCACAUUUUAAACUCCAAGGGGUGCUUUAAAGAGAAAAUUUUACGAGGGUACCAAUGGAACCACAUUUAGAACCUCAAAAGUUCGCAGAAACGGAGUCAUAAGCUUUGAAAGUUUCCAAAUUUUGUCCGACCUCUCCUAUUGACUCGAUCCACGGUGCAUCGUGCAUCUUAAAGCGAGGAAUACAUCAAGUUUCUAAAAUUAUCUGAAUGGUUCCUCUCGCUGCAACGUGCUUCGUGCCUAGUCGUAGAUGUUUGAUGAUGUUCGGUGGUAGCUCGGUGCCGCACCGGAGAUAAGAUAUCUCUUUGUCCUCUAGUUGGACCGCGGCUUCAGAUAUUGCCAAACUUAAUUCGGCAAUUUAAUUUUUAUUACCUGAAAACGGAUGUGCGGAUUUUUGUGUAAAUUCCAGUGAAUUUUCUGCAUAGUACGAAGCAAAUUCCUCAAUAUUUUCAAUGGGAUCUGUAAAAACGUUCUCCUGUAAACAACUAAAUUGCUCAGUUAAAUUUGGCAAUAGCUGAUGUGGCUUGGUUCCUUUCUGCGGAACGCGGUCCAGUUGUGAGAUGCCGCACUGCUCAGGGUUGCUGCCUCGAAGAACUAGAUGAAGACAACCCCCUCUCCAUCCACCUCCCUUUCCUCCAGGGUAUUCGAUGCGAUGGCUGGGCCUUAGGAUCGAAUGUCGAGAUUCGAAAGGCUGCCUGUCGAAUGAUUCUAAGCAUAGAGAAAAAAAAGGAGAUCUUGAGGUUUGUUUACCCUGUGACGUAGGUCGGUGGCCAGCGAAAUCCGGAAUUCGAAGUAUGAAAAACGGACCAUAAUGUCCAUGUUUUUUGCUUAAAUAACUCAUGAUAUAAUUUCAAGCACUUUUUUAGAAUGACUUUUUUCCAUAAAUUACACCAUUUCCAAGAAAAUCGAUGAUAAAAGUCGCUGUACCGACCUACGUCAUUAAAAAAAUUCCAAGAUGCCCGAAAUGCAAACACCUCCUUUUUUUUCUCUAUGGAUUCUAAGCGACAAGUACCGUAGCAAAGAGAUUGCCACCUCGUCGAUCAAGUCCGUCUGGUCUGGUCGAAAUUUCAAAACAUCCUAAACACCACCAGGUAGUACGGAAACCAAAUGAGGUUUUAUGCUGAUGGUAUGUGUAAAAUGGAUUAAUUUGUCAUUAGGAACUAUGAAACCAACGUAAAUAAAAUCUAAAGCUUACUUUUUAUUUAAAUCAUUCGCAGCUAAAAUUGAAUUCAAAGUGUUAUAAAAAUUAAAUAGGCUGUCCGUUUGGGCCUUAUGACCCUCGUCAAAUAGUAUAUCCAUACUCUUUCGAUAAAACCACCCGAUUGGAGUUCUGGAUUUUUCGAUUAUGCCGGAACAUAGGUGGAUCCAGACACUACGAACGGGGGGGGGGGGGGGGGGUCCGGGGGGCUUCCCCCAAAAAAUUUAUGAAGAAAGUAUGUAAUUUACAGUUUUUAGUAAAUUUUGUCAUGAACUAUUACCAA